GCGGGGGUUGCCUAGUGGCUAAGGCGCUGGCCUGGAGAGCCAGUGACCCGAAAAGGUGCAUGACGCCGCGCGCCAUCAUGCGCUAUCGGACGGGUCGCGUGGGUUCAAAUCCCACCCCCCGCGCCA
rnacentral:tRNA from 1 species